ACGGCUCAUAUUAAUGGCUGGAACAGAGUAUUUUGGCUGGAAUGGAGUGAUUGGAAUGGUAUCAAACACAUGAAUGUGUUUUAAUAGCAUUACAUUGACUCCAUUCCAGCCAUUAUUAUGAGCCGUCCUCCCCUCAGCAACCUCCGCCGGUGUACCAGUAUGUGCGUGCAUGGAUCACAGUGACACAGAUGGGCAGUGGGCACCCAGUACUGUGUGACAAGGAUAAGGGUGUGUGUGUCUGAGAAAGGGAGAAUGAAAGAGGUGGCAUCGAGACUCUACACACACACACACACACACACACACGACACACACACACACACACACAGUAAAUUCCACUCCCAGAACAUCAGAGACCUGACACAAUUGGGGUGACAGCAGGAGAAAGAGCAGUGAGCAAGUACAGGGAAAGAGAGGGAGAAACAACAAGGAGCGAAAGAGUGACCUAGUGAGAGGGAUAUGCAGACAUAGAGAGAGGAAAAGAGCGAGAGGAGUACAUCUGACAUGUGACACGGGAGCGCUGGCCAAAGGCAUCGGCCGGGCAGUUUAAUUUGCAGUAAUAUAUGCGUUACUUCCCAGGCAGCCAGGGGCUGUGUCAGGGCUGUCAGAUUUGGUACGAAAGUUGUUACCCACUGCCCUGAAUGAAGCCCACCCCUCCCCCAUCUUAAUGGCACAUCGGAAGUACUAAUGAGCCCAAUACUCUGUGGCUUAGGUGUUCUAGCGGUUAGCAUCGCUGUCUCCAGCACACAUGUAUACCUGUGUCUGCAUGGGUUCAAAUCUAACCCACAGCCCUUUUGACAGUCUCCUAUUCUUUACACACUAUCACUCUGACUUUAUUCUGUUCAUUAAAAAAUCUGAAAGGAAAAACCCAAUGACCUAACUAGCUAGCUACUGUUUCUUCAUAAUACGUGCCUACCGCACAGCGCCGGUGAGUAAAAAGAUUGGAUAAGUUAUAAAUUGCGUGAGAUAAAUAAUUUAUCAAUGGAACAGGUUAGCUACCUAUCCAACACUGCAAUUAGAGCUAGCUAACGUUAGCAUACUUUAGCAGGUCAGCUGCAAUGGUAGAUAGCUAGCUAGCAUAUACUCCAUGAACAAAGCAAACUUUCUAGCGAGAAAAAUAGAGGAAAGAGAGUGGUGUUAAUGAUUUUAGAAAACUGUUCAUUAGAUAAUCCAGCUGGUCGGCAUUGUUUCCUAUGCAUUCUUGUGUUCAGACUUCUGAUGGUAAUAACUCAGAAUUGGAUUGGUGCAAGUGUAACCCAUGUGAAACGGCUAGUUAGUUAGCCGGGUCACGGCACCAAUGUAACAGUGUAGGUUCCGUCCCUCUCUUCGCCCCAACCUGGGCUCGAACCAGGGACCCUUGCACACAUCAACAACUGACACCCACGAAGCAUCGUUACCCAUCGCGCCACAAAAGCCGCGGCCCUUGCAACGCAAGGGGAACAACCACUUCAGGUCUCAGAGCGGGUGACGUCACUGAUUGAAAUGCUAUUAGCGCGCACCACCACUAACUAACUAGCCAUUUCACAUCGGUUACACAAGCAGAGGCUGAAUGGAUUGGUGCAAGCACAGAUUUGCAUGCACACAAACACAUACCCACACACAUGAAAAAACAUAAUUUACAUUUCUUUACAAAGUGUGUAUUGUGCCUGUGAAUGCCAGUCUGCCCGUGUGUGUGCUUUUGACCUUGGAUGGCAGUCCCUCAACUUUGAACAAACACAUUUGCUUGUGAUGUCAGUUAUGGGGAUGUACAGUAAUUGGUGUGUGUGCAUGCUAAUGAGAUGCCUGACCACCAGCACAGUGACCAUUGGUCCUCUGUAGCUCAGUUGGUAGAGCAUGGUGCUUGCAAAGCCAGGAUAAUGGGUUUGAUUCCCUGGACCACACAUAUGUAAAAUGUAUGCACUUAUAACUGACUAAGUUGCUUUUGAUAAAAGUGUCUGCUAAAUGGCAUAUUUUAUAUAAGUGCAUACAUUUUACAUAUGUGUGGUCCAGGGAAUCAAACCCAUUAUCCUGGCUUUGCAAGCACCAUUAUCCUUGCUUUUCUUUCAAAAACAAGGACAUUUCUAAGUGACCCCAAACUUUGUGUGUGUGUGUGUGUGUGUGUGUGUCCCACAAAUCAAUUGAAGACCAAAAACUAGAACAAGCAGAAAAGCCAUCGCUUUUUCCCGCUCGUCACUCCAAGGCAAUAUUACCCUGAAAUCUAAACGGAAUAUUGCCCUAAAAAUACAACAGAUACCUUAACUUACUGUGAUAUUAUUAGGUUCAGUUUUUUUCUUGUAACUCUUCGUUGGGAAGGUCUUGGGAUUCUAAAGUGUUGCUCUGUCUCUCUUGAUUCUACAGCGAUGCUGCAGUACAAUGGACAUUUUGGAAAUGAAGUCCAUUCCUCCACGGAGGCCUCCAAACAAGUAUGCUACUUUCCAUGUUUGGGUUUUGUUUUGCUAGAAGUAGAAUCCGUCUCCUUACUGUGUGCCCUUCGAUGUAUAUCUCCCUCUGCAUUCCCCCUAUCCUGUCAAUAACAAAAAACGAAAGGUAUUUAGACCUUUAAAAUAAUUCCUCAUCACUCCUUUCUGCUCCCAGCUCUGAGAAUCCAAAAGAGAAAUCAGUGUAUGAAACACUAAAGGCGAGGCAGUGAUACUUGAGCGUCUGUGUCAGACUGCUGUCUCCCUCUUUCUCUGUUU
rnacentral:lncRNA from 1 species